AAGAUUAAGCCAUGCAGGUCUAAGUACAGGCCCUAUACGGCGAAACUGCGAAUGGCUCAUUAAAUCAGUUAUGGUUCCUUAGACACACCACAUCCACUUGGACAACUGUGGAAAAUCUAGAGCUAAUACAUGCGAGCAAGCUCCGACCUCACGGGAAGAGCGCAUUUGUUAGUACAAAACCAACCCGGGUUCGCGCCCGGCCAUCUUGGUGACUCUGAACAGCCUUGGGCUGAUCGCACGGCCUCGCGCCGGCGACGCAUCUUUCAAAUGUCUGCCCUAUCAACUGUCGAUGGUACGUGCUAUGCGUACCAUGGUUCUCACGGGUGACGGGGAAUCAGGGUUCGAUUCCGGAGAGGGAGCCUGAGAAACGGCUACCACAUCCAAGGAAGGCAGCAGGCACGCAAAUUACCCAAUGCCGACACGGCGAGGUAGUGACGAAAAAUAACAAUACGGGUCUCUUUCGAGGCCCCGUAAUUGGAAUGAGUACACUCUAAAUCCUUUAACGAGGAUCUAUUGGAGGGCAAGUCUGGUGCCAGCAGCCGCGGUAAUUCCAGCUCCAAUAGCGUAUAUUAAAGUUGCUGCGUUUAAAAAGCUCGUAGUUGGAUCUCGGUUCCAGGCUUGCGGUCCGCCUCGAGGUGGAUACUGCUCGUCCUGUGUUCGACGUCGUGGUGGUUCCUUGGUGCUCUUGACUGAGUGUCUCGGACGGUCCCGAACGUUUACUUUGAAAAAAUUAGAGUGCUCAAAGCAGGCGUAUCGCCUGAAUAAUUCCGCAUGGAAUAAUGGAAUAGGACCUCGGUUCCAGUUUCGUUGGUUUGCGAAUCCUUGAGGUAAUGAUUAAUAGGGACUGCCGGGGGCAUACGUAUUGCGGCGGGAGAGGUGAAAUUCGUGGAUCGCCGCAAGACGAACGACAGCGAAAGCAUUUGCCAAGAAUGUUCUCAUUAAUCAAGAACGAAAGUCAGAGGUUCGAAGACGAUCAGAUACCGUCGUAGUUCUGACCCUAAACGAUGCCGACCGUCGAUCCGCCGGAGUUACUACCAUGACUCGGCGGGAAGCCUCCGGGAAACCAAAGUC
rnacentral:rRNA from 1 species